CAAGGAGACAACAUGGAUGGUAAAGAUUAAGGAGGAAGGCCAGUACAGCAAGUACUUUUUCUUCUUCUUCGGCCCUGAGCUAACAUCUGUUACCAAUCUUCCUUUGUUUGCUUGAAAAGAUUGUUGCUGAGGUCACAUCUCUGCCAGUCUUCCUCUUUUUUGUAUGUGGGACAGCAUGGCUUGACGAGUGGUGCAUAGACCCGUCCCUGGGAUCCAAACCUACGAAUCCCGGCUUCCAAAGCAGAACGCAUGAACUUAACCACUACGCCACCGGGCCGGCCCCACAGCAGGCAUCUUGACGCCUGCCACACUCCAGGGCUCGCUUUUUUGAAAGCCAAGAUGAGUGACACUCAAGCUGAGAAGUCUUUGAUUGCCAUAAUCGAGCUGUUUCACAAAUACACCAGACAUGAUGACGCAAUUGACAAGCCAGGCCUGUUGAAGAUGCUGAAGGAGAAUUUCCCCAACUUCCUUGCUGCCUGUAUGAGUUGGAGUCUGGCUUCUUAUUGUUGCUUGAGCCCUGGCAUGACUGAGGACACAUUUUUUGUUGUGUGACCUUGGACAAGUCACUCUCAUUCUCUGAUCCUCAAGAUUUUCAUCUGCAAAAGGGC
rnacentral:lncRNA from 1 species